CGGUGACUUUUUGUUUAACGGCCGCGGUAUUUUGACCGUGCAAAGGUAGCAUAAUCAUUAGCUUCAUAAUUGGAGGCUUGUAUGAAUGGGUUUACAAGGUAGCUGCUGUCUCUUAAUUCUAUUUUGAAAUUUCUUUUCUAGUGAAGAAGCUAGAGUUUGUUCGUAGGACGAGAAGACCCUAUUGAGCUUUACUUUGAUAUCUCUUUAUUUUUUUGUUAAUUAUUCUUUGAAGUGUUUAAAAAAGUUUGACUGGGGCGGUUGAGGAAAUAAUUUAACUUCCUUUUAUUUUGUUAUUGUUAUUAGUUUUUAGAUCCGAGUGUCUCGAUUAAAAGAAUAAGUUACCAUAGGGAUAACAGCGUAAUCUUUUUUUAGAGUUCUUAUCGAUAAAAGGGUUUGCGACCUCGAUGUUGGACUAGGAUAUCCUAAUGGUGUAGUCGCUAUUGAGGGUAGGUCUGUUCGACCUUUAAUAUCCU
rnacentral:rRNA from 1 species